rnacentral:tRNA from 1 species
GUAAAUAUAGUUUAACCAAAACACCAGAUUGUGAAUCUGGCCAUAGAAACCCACCACUUCUUAUUUACC